AAUUCACGGCGAUGUUGGUGACUGCCAACAAUGUUUUUUGAUCUAUGCCUUGAUUUAAAUGGGAGCUAAUGCUGUCGGUGGCAGUAUACCGGGCUUGUACUCGGAAACUUUAAGCCGGCUUGACCUGUUCCCUCCUGGAGUUUCCAGGUCACAAACUGAGGUAAGACGGCAUUGCGGUGAAGGA
rnacentral:other from 2 species